UACGGAGGGGACUAGCGUUGUUCGGAAUUACUGGGCGUAAAGCGCACGUAGGCGGAUUUGUAAGUCAGGGGUGAAAUCCCGGGGCUCAACCCCGGAACUGCCUUUGAUACUGCAAAUCUCGAGUCCGGAAGAGGUGAGUGGAAUUCCUAGUGUAGAGGUGAAAUUCGUAGAUAUUAGGAAGAACACCAGUGGCGAAGGCGGCUCACUGGUCCGGUACUGACGCUGAGGUGCGAAAGCGUGGGGAGCAAACAGG
rnacentral:rRNA from 1 species